rnacentral:lncRNA from 1 species
UUUUUCUUUUUUUUAUUUAGGUGUAUAAUAAAAUGAAGGACAAAUAAAAAAAAAAGAAAGAUGUAUUUCGUUCGAAAGUAGCUGCACCAAGAAUGUGAGUUGGAAUGAUUUACGAUUCUUUGCAAGUCAUAAAAACAUCAGCUAUAAGGGAUGGAAAGUUUUUGCGAAGAUUUGAAAGAAAAUUUACGAUGUGCUCUCAGGUUUCGAUAUAGUGGAACAGUACCUUUAAUUACGAGGUAAAAUGAUUGGUCUUGAUAGUUGACGCGAAUCUUUAAUAUAUCGAUGGCGAUAAAUUAGUAAAAUAUCGAUUGACUAUAAUUUCUUCAAGCUAUGGCAUCGUUUCGAAAUGAAAUUUGUAUCCUUGUGGAAAAGAAUUCGAUAUCUUAAUAACUCGUAACACUUGAGAAAUUAUUAGGUAUUUUGAUACGGAUAAUUACUAGUUAGUAAAUUAGUCUCGUAGAAUUUAGUGCUGUUAUUUAAAGCUUUAAUUUCAGCUUCUCCAUAAAAGUAAAAUAUACAAAAUCUAUUUACUCGUUUCGUGUAAAUAAGUAAGUGACCUCGAGACAGUUUGAACGAAAUUUCAUUUUAAUUAUGCUGAUUAAUUAUACGUAUGAUUCUGAAGAAUGUAUUUCUAUAAUGAUGUCCAAAUUUGGUGAAUAUAAGAAAAAAUUGAAUGAAGUUACUUUUGAUCUUACAGAUCGUAGAAUCUAUAAAUGAUCUGUCUAUUAAAUUAUCGAAAAAACUAUAUAAUUUUCGAUUAAUUGAGGGGUAUUCCUUUGGGAAAGAAAUGGUCGAUCACAGCAUGCAAUUUGUAACUGAUUCAGAGAAGAGACUCGAUAUUGAUGAACAAAUUAUGAUUAACGUCGUAAAAAAAGAGAUAGUUAAAAGUUUAAAAAAUGAACAAUGAAAAUUACUCACCUUCUUACGAUGCGGACAGCAAGAAGAUCCAUUGCCCAUGGUUCGAUCUUUCAAACAGCGAAAGAAUCAAUCCUUACACUAAUUCAUAACACUUCAACACAACGCUUCCAAAUUUUCUUCGCACAAUCAUUUCUUUUUUUCUUCAUCGUUGUUUCGAGAAAGUUGCAGGUUUAUUAUCGCGUUGGUAUUCGAGCCAACCGCUCCAUGAAUAGUCCAAUCGCCUUUGUUAACUAUCUCCUGAAUCUCGACAAGAUCACCUUCUCGUAAGUUUUAUAUCUGAUCUGACGAAAAAGGUAAUCAAUGAAUAUAUCAUACAAUUUUCCUCUUGCACACUUAUUUCUUCAUUUCUCAUUUUCUUUUAUAGGUUCCUUUAAAUUUUCCUCAUUUUCUCAUCAUACUGAUAUCCAGAUCAAUAGAAUGUGAAAGGUCUUGAUCUCGUAGAUGAAGUAAAGAAACGAGAAAAGACUAGCAAGUAACAGUACGGUGAAAUGACCGCAAGAAAUCGAAGAAGCCUUAGUAAUUGAGAGAAAUGGAUGAGCUGACAGUAAUGUUCCGAUAAUAUGGAUUACUGUGUCAACUGUGCAGCUCGUGGAAAUAUAAAGUUUCAUCGCGCAACAUCUUCCUGGAUGAAAUUAAUUAAAUCGAAAUCAUUCAAAUAUCCGAAGAAAGCAUUCGAUGAAGUCAAUGAUUCUUCUAUUCAAGAUCGAUGAUUCCUCUCUUCAGGAAGAUUAACGAGAUUCCAGAAACGAAGAAAUUCGUUUCGAAUCGAAUUGGUCACCGUUUAACUUUUGUUUUUUUCGAUUUUCUUCUUUUCUUCCGUUUUCUCGCUCGCUUUUUUUGAAAUUCGCGCGCAGAACAGAUCGGUAGCAAUUGAGCGAUAAGACUUCGGUUUUGACCUCUCGAUGCGGGAAUAUGGAAGCGCUAAUGAGUGUCAAGAGGUUGGCCAAGUCGAAAAUAGAAUCUGACGUGCUCCGUAAGAAUUUUUUUUAAUAUCGUCUCGACGGAUCGUCGACGUUGCGAUCCGAGCCAUUUCGAUCGUUUCAAUCGUUCCACUUUGCUAUAAAGUUUUUAACGAUAAGUUCACAAGAAUAGAAGAUAAUUUCACGAUCACUUAGAUUUUUGAUAAUACAAAGAAAAUUAACGAUAUUAAUAUAGAAAUAGAAAAAAAGAGGAUUGAUUUGACUAUAAAAUUUUGUAUUACGAUCUUCUCGAAAUUGGAGCUCUUUGAUGUUGCAAGUGAAUACAAUUCUGUUUAUUACUAAGAAAAUAUGCGCAUGAAGAUUCGAGUAUUUCAUAUAUUUAAACCUCGGAUGGCGGACCAUAGACGGCGAUGACUAAGUCAUUUCUAGCCGCCUCCUACAUUUAUCAUUACUUUAUUAAAUUAUACAUAUUUGAAGAAAAUUAUAGAAUCAUAUCAUUCAAAAGUUGCAUAUAUAAAAUAAAAGAAAUCAUAAACAAUUACAAAAAUAUAAAAUAUAGAAUAUCGAUAAUCGAAUUUUUAAUAUAAUUCUAUUUCCAAGAUGGAUUUUUCUUUUUCAUUCAGAGCUCUCUUCUCGAACGAUCCAAUUACAAAUCAACCGAGGGUUAAUUACCAUGUAAUUCAAACGAAAAGAAAAAUAAUUUCAUGUUAUACGUACAGCUAUACCGAACGAUUGCUCGACGUUUAUAUACGCGUUUCGCAACGAAAGGAUUAAAAAUCGACGUGGCUCGAUCGCGAGAGAGAAAGACUUGAUCACCGGUUCGGCGUGUUUCAAAAACUGCCAUCGAAUUUCGAGGAAAGUAACCGGGGUCCGCUCGCACGUGUUUACGCGUGCGCCAGCACACGGUACCAAUAUCCACGCGAGUCACCGCUUUAUUUUCCACCGUUACAUCACUGUCGUCAGCGUUUCACUGCCGCUUCACGAUAGUGCGCGCAGUUUAUCGAGCCUCGAGAAAACAAUGAUCCAUCGUGUCCAUCGUGAUUUGCCUUUCCGGUACCGUUCCUCUUCGUCAACCGUAACGUUCUCCACCUUCAUGCUCGAUUUUCUUUCCUUCUUUCUUUUUUGAAUUUUAAACUUAAUAUAUUCUGGAAUAUAAAUCGAUGGAUUUUAAUUUCUAAUUAACAAAACACGUCGAGUUGCUCUUUUGGGAAUUUAUCUUGCGAUUAAUCGAUGAAGAUGGAAUUCCUUCUUUCAGAAUUUUAAAACGGUAACACACUUGUAGAAUUUUAAAACGAUAACACACUUUGAAAGUGAAAAUUUUAAAUACACGAGGAAUUUUCAAUUUUUAUUUUCAAUAAGUCACGUCGAAUCGCUCUUCAGGAAUUUAACCACCGACGAUUAAAUCGACGAAUACGAAAUUCUUAAAGGUAUUCGAUAAUUAAACGAAGAAUUUCGCGCUCUUGAAAUGCCAAAGUAUGCAAGAACGAACGCGAGGAUCGCGAGGCACUCGACACAUAACUAGCAAACUCCGUGCACUUCAUUCUUGUGUAGCACGUGUUGAUCGUAAACAGUGACUUGCGUCAGCACACGAGUCCCGCGGAAACUUGUUUUGUCAAUGGACUGAUAGGUCGCGUGAAAACCAAUGUCGUCAAAGCUAAGGAUGGACGAGGAAUAAUCUGAACAAUUAAUAAACAAACCGAGUCAUCUUUCCACGAAAGAUUAAAAUAGACCGGUCGAAACAAAAAAAUGUAUCUCUUUACCUAUUUUUCGAGCCACUUUUCGCUAUUAUCGAAACGAUGUGAACGAAUAUCAUGAUGAAUCGAUGAAAUUUUCAUGCGACACUGUGACAUAAUGAAUCUCGUCUUCGUACUGAAGAGACUGAAUUUCACUCGAGCCACGAAUCGCUGACAUCAUUCCGUUCGUGUUGCAUUUUUAUCAUUUGAAUAUUAU